UACGUAGGGGGCAAGCGUUGUCCGGAUUCAUUGGGCGUAAAGAGCGUGUAGGCGGCCAGGUAGGUCCGUUGUGAAAACUCGAGGCUCAACCUCGAGACGUCGAUGGAAACCAUCUGGCUAGAGUCCGGAAGAGGAGAGUGGAAUUCCUGGUGUAGCGGUGAAAUGCGCAGAUAUCAGGAGGAACACCGGUGGCGAAGGCGGGACUCUGGGCCGAUACUGACGCUGAGGAGCGAAAGCGUGGGGAGCGAACAGG
rnacentral:rRNA from 1 species